rnacentral:lncRNA from 10 species
CCCCUCUCUGCCUCCAGAUGACCAGAAAUUCUUGGAGAUUCUCCAGCAUGAAGCAAAAAAAGGGAACUUGUGCUCAUUGUCCUGCACAGCAACCUGGAGACAUCUUUUCUUCUUGAACAUUGGAAAAGGCUUGUGACAUUUAGAGACAGAGAAAUAAAAAUUGUUCUCUGAAGAAUAAUAAGUGAGGCAGUGAUUCUGUUUUCACACCAGAUCCCAGAACACCAGGUCUGGUCAAGCCUGCAGAUGUUUGUGUGAUGACAGCUUGAUUCUUCAGACCUGCUCAAGGACUCUUUUCUUCUCAUUUGCCUUUAUUUUGAUGGUUUGGGGAAACAUCUUUUAGAGAAGAACAUGUCAUGAACAUGAGAGCACAGACAUCUCUUCCACAGACUGACUUCAAAUCUUUUGAGCAAAUACCCAGGAGUAAGAUUGCCAGAUCAUAUGAGAACCAGGAACCCUGGGAACUUCAUUUCCUAGACUUUCAAGAAGGACUUCAAAGAUUUUAGAUACUUCCAAAAGUAGAAACCAGUAGAAGAAAGUACUGUGCCUCCAGAGAAGACAUGUUUUUCAAAAGCAUCAUGGUGAGGUCGUUUUUACUAAGUUCCAGAGAGUCCUGAAACUUCCUGAUUUCCACAUGCAACUUUCAGCUGUUCCCGAUCCAUUUCUUUUUAAUGAUCAGAAUGGUUUUGCUUUCUUGAUGGACUCCUAAUCGAUACAAUAAAAGAGAAUAAGAAGUAAAUCUGCACUUAAAUGAAUGUAUACACCCAAAUGGUGUCAACUGGGUGGUCCAGAGAAUUGUAAAUCUUGCUAUUGCAGAGUGCACCUGGCUAGAUUUUCAGUGCCCCACAUGCCUGCUCGCUCCCUUAGGGGGAACAGAAAAAAAAUAAAACUUGCAUCUUCUACCUCAAGUUAUUUUCGCAAAUUAUUUUCCCAAAUCAGAAUAUAAUUAAAGAUAACCAAGUACAAGAGAACAAGA